GACAGAGGUGCCGAGCGUUAGGCGGAAUCACUGGGCUUAAAGCGUGUGUAGGCGGAUUUGUAAGUACCUUGUGAAAUCCCACGGCUCAACCGUGGAACUGCUCGGUAUACUGCUUAUCUUGAGCCACUUAGGGGCAGUCGGAACAGAUGGUGGAGCGGUGAAAUGCGUAGAUAUCGUGAGGAAGACCAGUGGCGAAGGCGGGUCUCUGGACAGUUCCUGACACUGAGGCACGAAGGCCAGGGGAGCAAACGGG
rnacentral:rRNA from 1 species